rnacentral:rRNA from 1 species
UGCGGUCGUACUCCCCAGGCGGUGUGUUUAUCGGUUUCCUGCGACACUGAAAAUAAAUUUCCAACGUCUAACACACAUCGUUUACGGCAUGGACUACGAGGGUAUCUAAUCCUCUUCGCUACCCAUGCUUUCGUUCCUCAGUGUCAGUAAUGAUCCAGAAAGCUGCCUUCGCAAUUGGUAUUCUUUCUAAUAUCUACGAAUUUCACCUCUACACUAGAAAUUCUGCUUUCCUCUAUCAUACUCUAGCUGAAAAGUUUUGAUGGCGGUUCCAGAGUUAAGCUCUGGGAUUUCACCACCAACUUUUUCAACCACCUACGAACUCUUUAAGCCCAGUAAUUCCGAACUACGCUAGGUCCCUUCGUAUUACCGCGGCUGCUGGCACGAAGUUAGCCGGACCUUCUUAUUCGGGUACAGUCAUUUUCUUCCCCGACGAAAGAGCUUUACAACCCAAAGGCCUUCUUCACUCACGCGGCAUCGCUGCAUCAGAGUUUCCUCCAUUGUGCAAGAUUCCCCACUGCUGCCUCCCGUAGGAGUUUGGGCCGUGUCUCAGUCCCAAUGUGGCUGAUCAUCCUCUCAAAUCAGCUAUUGAUCAUAGUCUUGGUAGGCCAUUACCCUACCAACAAACUAAUCAAGUGCGGGCUCAUCCAAUGGUGCAUAAAGCUUUCUCCGUAAAGACUUAUCCGGUAUUAGCACAAGUUUCCUCGUGUUAUUCCAGGCCAAAGGGUAGAUACCCACAUGUUACUCACCCGUCUGCCACUAAGUAUUGCUACUUCGUUCGACUUGCAUGUGUUAGGCGUGCCGCCAGCGUACGUUCUGAGCCAGGAUCAAACUCU